rnacentral:lncRNA from 1 species
UGGAAAAUGAACAGUCUACUUUUCUUCACAACUGAGUAUUUGGAGCAUGUUGAUUAAAAAGCUGGAUUUAGUUGAGAGGAGAAUAUUAUAAUCACCUUUACCAAGAAAGAUUGGUGCCUAGACCCAACUGUCAUCAGAGAGGCUUCCUUCAGCAACUGAUGGAAACAGACGCCAAGACCCACUGAGUUUGCGGAAUCCUGCUGAAGAACGGAAUCCUUCCUCCCAUCAAGGGGGUCAAGGACAUCCAUAAGAAAACCCACAGAAUUAUCUAACCUGUUUCAUGGAGCUCACAGAGUCUGAACUUAGGCCCUCUACAUAUGGGACAGUUGUGUAGUGUGGGAGCAGGGGAUGCCUCUGAUUCUUUACUGGCUUUUGGGACCCUAUACUGGGUUGCCUUGCAAAGCCAUAAUACAAGGGCAGGUCCUUAGUUUUACUGCAACUUGAUAUACAUGGGAGGCCUGUGCUUUUUCUGAACAGAAACUGAGGCGUGGAUUGGUGGGAGUGGGGCAGUAUGGGGCAAACAUGUGUAGACAUGUAGGCAAAACACCCAUACGCAUAAAGUUAAAUUCUGUAUCUGCCAGGUGGCCUACUCAUUGCCUCUGCCAUUGGCUCCUGAAGCCCAAUUUAGUUCUAAAAUUAGGCACAGUAUUCAAUGAGUAUAUAAUUGAGUAAUGUUUUCUUAGUGGGUUAAUCUUGUUUUGGCACUAACUUGUUGAUCAUGUGUAAGACCAUUUAAGCCAGAGUGUCUGUUCUAAUGCUUCAUAAUUUGGUUGCAGGUAAAUUUGGCUCCUCAUAGAGAGCCUAAGCACUCCAUCAUAUUGCUUGCCUUCUCAGGGCUUCUUGAGGACCAGAAGUCUGUCCCCCUACUGUUUUCUGAACUUUACCCAGACAAACAAAUUUUAAAGCAGGAGGUGACUGUAGGGUGAAGAGUUCAAAACCCAGGGCCAUAGCUAUAGAGAACUUUUUAUUGUAUCAUUCCACAGGACUAUAGUGAUUGAUCCUUGGAGUUACUGAAACACUCAUGUUUAGAUUUUAAAUGGUUUGUUGUUUUCCCAAGUAAUUAAUAAAUUUGUUCAAAUUUAAUUUCUGUGUGUUUUCACUUGAAUGUAUGUCUAUUUACCAUUUACAUUCCUGUUGGAGUUUAGAAGAGGGCAUAAGAG